rnacentral:rRNA from 1 species
AGAGUUUGAUCAUGGCUCAGGACGAACGCUGGCGGCGUGCUUAACACAUGCAAGUCGAACGGAAAGGCCCUUCGGGGUACUCGAGUGGCGAACGGGUGAGUAACACGUGGGUGAUCUGCCCUGCACUUUGGGAUAAGCCUGGGAAACUGGGUCUAAUACCGAAUAUGACCAUGCGCCUCCUGGUGUGUGGUGGAAAGCUUUUGCGGUGCAGGAUGGGCCCGCGGCCUAUCAGCUUGUUGGUGGGGUAAUAGCCUACCAAGGCGACGACGGGUAGCCGACCUGAGAGGGUGACCGGCCACACUGGGACUGAGACACGGCCCAGACUCCUACGGGAGGCAGCAGUGGGGAAUAUUGCACAAUGGGCGGAAGCCUGAUGCAGCGACGCCGCGUGAGGGAUGAAGGCCUUCGGGUUGUAAACCUCUUUCAGCAGGGACGAAGCGUGAGUGACGGUACCUGCAGAAGAAGCACCGGCUAACUACGUGCCAGCAGCCGCGGUAAUACGUAGGGUGCGAGCGUUGUCCGGAAUUACUGGGCGUAAAGAGUUCGUAGGCGGUUUGUCGCGUCGUUUGUGAAAACCCGGGGCUCAACUUCGGGCUUGCAGGCGAUACGGGCAGACUUGAGUGUUUCAGGGGAGACUGGAAUUCCUGGUGUAGCGGUGAAAUGCGCAGAUAUCAGGAGGAACACCGGUGGCGAAGGCGGGUCUCUGGGAAACAACUGACGCUGAGGAACGAAAGCGUGGGUAGCAAACAGGAUUAGAUACCCUGGUAGUCC